CCGGCCCGCCGCCCGCAGCGGCCCCUGCAUUGCGGAGCGCUACCUGAGCGGGGCGGCUCCCGCGGCCCGGCACGGCGGUGCCGCCAGGAGGCGGAGUGCUGAGGUAGUUGGAAAAGCGCACCUCGGGAUCUGCGCCGCUGCCGCCUUCCAGCUGUGCUGGCGCGGCGCUGAGCUCUCCGGCCCCUUCCUGGGCUUCGCUGAUGAAAGAGAUGAAUAUAAGAAAAGUUGCUGCUUGAUCUGGGGAACUAUGAGAUGUCGUCUACUUGGUGAGAUCAACAAGUUCUAAGCCCCUCCAAACUGCCAGCAGCCUGAGGACAAAGAAGAUCCUUGGAAGAGAGGGGAGCUUGGGGGAGGUGAACUGCACGAGCUCCAACCUGCUAGAGAAAAUCUGGGAGCAGCAACAUCUCGCUCGCCUGACUCGGGUUCAUAGGAAGAAGUACUCAGAAAGGUAGGUGCAUCUCAUAGACAUACCUUAUUCAUUAAUAAGCAAAUAUAACCACCAUUAAAAACCUGUGCUACAGUCCCUGUGGCAAGUAGUAUACAUUUUGAGACCACAGCGGGUAAGAGGCUAUUAAAGGAAAAAAAUUGGUAUUGGAAAGUGCUUCCAGUUGAUCUCUUUUUAUGAAUCUACAAAAAUAAAUACUUAGGAGAAGUGGCCUUGAAUACAUAUCACAGAA